rnacentral:rRNA from 1 species
CCUACGGGAGGCAGCAGUGAGGAAUAUUGGUCAAUGGGCGAGCGCCUGAACCAGCCAAGUCGCGUGAGGGAGUACUGCCCUAUGGGUUGUAAACCUCUUUUGUCGGGGAGCAAAAGCCGGACGUGUCCGGCUGUGAGAGUACCCGAAGAAAAAGCAUCGGCUAACUCCGUGCCAGCAGCCGCGGUAAUACGGAGGAUGCGAGCGUUAUCCGGAUUUAUUUGGUUUAAAGGGUGCGUAGGCUGUGAGGUAAGUCAGCGGUGAAAUGCCCCCGCUCAACGGGGUGAAGUGCCAUUGAUACUGCCUGGCUGGAAUGCGGAUGCCGUGGGAGGAAUGUGUGGUGUAGCGGUGAAAUGCAUAGAUAUCACACAGAACACCGAUUGCGAAGGCAUCUCACGAAUCCGCGAUUGACGCUGAUGCACGAAAGCGUGGGUAUCAAACAGGAUUAGAUACCCUGGUAGUC